AGAGAGAGCGAGUUGAGAUCUAAGGGACUAUUGGGCUGCGGUGAGAAUCCGAGGGGUGAAGAGCGGAAGUUUAUAGUAGGGGGUGGCUUUAGGGUUUUGUGGAGGACGGUGAGGGGAUCUCGACUGAAAAUGGAAAGCGAAUAUUGAGAGAAUAUUUGGUUACUUGGCAAGGAAGCCAGAGGGUGAAACGACAAGACUCGCUGUGAGAAAAAAACCGAGAAAAAACAGAGAGAUCACAAGGAGUGUAGCUUAGUCUCCCUUGUGAU
rnacentral:lncRNA from 1 species